GUUGGUGUCACUAAGCAUAACCCUACGUAACUCGGGAGGGUGAAAGGCCACAAGAGUAUGGAGCCUUCCUGGUUUUAGGCCUCAGCAGACAAGAGUCCCUCCAUGUUUGAACUUUAAUCGACCUAAAAGGCCAGGUGUAACAGCUGUUAUUAGUUGCAACAGUUCUAACUGGUCUAAAGCAGAAAUAAUGAGGCCUGUGCACCUUAGCAGAAGGACAAGAUAACUUGCAGAAGGAAAACUUACUAACGAGCUGCCGCGGCCAAGAUUACUUAAUGCACCUGCGCUUACGUAAUUGCUACAGGGGGAGGAAGGAGGAGGAGGGAGGGGAAACGGGGAUUGCUAGUCAGUGAGAAAAGUUCUCAUGGAUAUAAAGGAACAGACUGCUUGUUUUAGGUGUGUUUGAUCUGAGUCAAUCUCCCUGCACCACUUUGAGAUCUCAAAUAAACUUGGUUUGCUUCUCCACCCUGGUGUGUUUAUUGGCGCGGCACGCCAGGCGACGGACCCCCCCGCUGUUGCUUGGCCUCAGGCAGUUAUCUGCCGGCAACAGUUCUUGGCGCCCAACGUGGGGCAUUGAGGCUAAAAUUAGCCUUGCCUGGAUCCCUUCUGGUGGUCGACAGAUUGCGGCGACGACCGACGCCCAGCGCGCACCGGUGACUUCACCGGGGGCCUCGGCGGAGACGCGGUAUGAGCGACCCCAGAGGGCACAACGGUGCAACGCGCUCGAGUAGUGGAGAAGCAGUUGAGGGCGACGGUGAGGAACCGGUCCCUUGGAUAAGCUUAACUGUCCAGUAAGAUCCAACAGUGUGCCUUUGUGACCCCGGAGCCGGUGUGGCUUGGUGACACUGAAGAAGCUGCAGGCAGCUGACCUGGACUGGAAUCUCUGAAAGAGAUGCUGCAGAAGAUUCCAGGGUGCAAGAGAACAGCCCUCCAAAGAGCGGAAGCAUGUUAGAAAUUCUGGACAAGCUGUAUACAGGAUAAUCUCCAGUCCACCUCUGCCCCCUUCUCUGAACAUUAUACACAGAAGUGGCCAGUCUGGACGUACGUGUGUGGGUUAAAAGAAGCCAAGAAGGGAAGAAGGACAAAGAACAGAAUGAAUUAACUGAAAAAAAUAAAAUAAAAUAGCAAGCUCAGGCUAUAGAUAAGACACUGACUCCAUUCAAGAACACUGCUCACAGUUAAGGCUUGGCUAACAACCAGGAAAAGGAGGGCUUGAAUUUGCCCACGCAGCUAUGAGAUUUGCAAAACAUUGCCAGGCACUAAUGAAAUGUGUUAAGUUUCUUUUCUCACAGGUAAAGAAGCGCUACCCAAAGACCCUAGCAGCCCUGCCACUCUUUGGAACCAGGAGACGGGAUUGAUGUAAAGGUCCACCGACGAAAGUCUGCUCUGGCUCCACCCUGGAAAGGCCCUUAAGUCCCGGUGACUACCAACAUCGCUGUAAAAUGUCAAAGACUGACUGCAUGGACCCAAGAUUCUCACUGCAAAAAGACCCCUCCACAUCGGGAGAAUUCUCCUACUGACGAUUAGCCUAUUUCACCUUCUAGCUCCACUGUGCCUUCUGGACAGUAGGGAAAAAGUACAAGGAUGCUGCACCACGACUGUUUUGGGAAAGAAGAAGGAACACUCGCUCCACUGAAAUUGCCAAAGUCCAGGAAUUCCUGACUAGAAAGGACAUUAAGAACUGACCCUGGUGAAGAAACAAAGAAUUAUACAUUGGUGGGAGGACAUUUGUGGGACCCAUGUUUGGGAAUGUGGUAUUAAUUGGAUUUUGGGGUUUAUUCUACAGGCUGCGCCCUGUGUUUUGGAUAAAUCCUUCAGCAUAUAUAUCUCUCUCUAAUUGGAUUUUAAAUAACAAGUACCCAAAGAGUUUGUUCUGCUACUAGAAAUUUUACCCGUAUUGAAACCAUUCCAGUGACUAAUAAUGUAUGCUAUUAAUGGAAAUGCCUUUUGACAGUACCUGAGAAUAGUUAAAUAACAGGUGUAUUAUAGUACUACACCAAGAAAAGAUGGUAUUAAAUAUAACUGAGACUGGGAAGGCAUUGCAGUGGGAUCUAGUAUGUUUAGGAAUUCGGGAUUUCCUAAAUGACCAGCUGAUGGCCAUUCGGAGUGAUCUUGAGUACCAGACUUGGCCCACUGCCCUUACAGACGCAUCAGGAAUACCAUCUGAUCUGUGAUCAUGGAGACAUACUUGGACACUUCCUGGGUAGAAGUGUGGCUUCCCAGGGCUGGGUGUGCGCCCUUAUAGGGGAUGAAUGCUGUACUUAUGUCCCAGAAAGCGCACAGGAUAUUAACAAGCACAGCCUGUCAGCCAAACAGGCUUUUGAACAGUGGAAGGCCCAGGAAAGGAAACCCACUAUUUCUGAUUCCCUCUGGGGCUGGUUACUCAACCUGGGAGAAAUAGGGGAAGGCAUUGUUCACCUCCUGCUCACUGGUGUGGUGUUGUGUAUUGUUACUCUUCUCUUGCUUGCUUGCUGUAAAGCACUUCAGCUCCCUAGAGCUAAAUCACAUGUUAUCCUUUAAAUGUGAGAACACUCAGCCAAAAGUUUGUUGAGUAUUCUCAAAGGAGGGAGUUGUUGGUGUCACUAAGCAUAACCCUACGUAACUCGGGAGGGUGAAAGGCCACAAGAGUAUGGAGCCUUCCUGGUUUUAGGCCUCAGCAGACAAGAGUCCCUCCAUGUUUGAACUUUAAUCGACCUAAAAGGCCAGGUGUAACAGCUGUUAUUAGUUGCAACAGUUCUAACUGGUCUAAAGCAGAAAUAAUGAGGCCUGUGCACCUUUAGCAGAAGGACAAGAUAACUUGCAGAAGGAAAACUUACUAACGAGCUGCCGCGGCCAAGAUUACUUAAUGCACCUGCGCUUACGUAAUUGCUACAGGGGGAGGAAGGAGGAGGAGGGAGGGGAAACGGGGAUUGCUAGUCAGUGAGAAAAGUUCUCAUGGAUAUAAAGGAACAGACUGCUUGUUUUAGGUGUGUUUGAUCUGAGUCAAUCUCCCUGCACCGCUUUGAGAUCUCAAAUAAACUUGGUUUGCUUCUCCA